CAAAAUACUUGACAGUUUCAUCGUGGGUUUCCGAAUACCAAAAGUUAAUGCACGUUGUACACCUUCUAAUAAAGAGAAACAACAAAGAAGAAGAGUGGCUUGACUUAAGGUGCAGAAGUUGAAUUUAUAUUUGCCACCUAAUUUGGAGAUUUUAGUUUUUGGGAAGCAUUUCAUAAAUGGGAAACCUAGCAAUAAUGCAGACGAGACUCAUCCAGAUUGGUUACCCAGUAUUGAUGUUGGUGGACAAACUUCAACCAAAACAAGUAGUAGAUACAUACGGAGGCAAAAAAGAGAUUUGUUGAAAACUUGUAUUGGUGAAAAAAUGACACCGGACUUAAUACAG